rnacentral:lncRNA from 1 species
UAUAGACACUAAUACAAUUCGAUCCGCUCUUUAUAGACAAACUUGGUAUUUGCGAUCCCAGGUAAGAUCGGUUCAGGAUCAUGGGAUCCUUUUCUAUCAGAUAGGAAGGGCUGUAGCACAAAAUGUAUUUCUAAGUAAUUGCCCCAUAGAUCCUAUAUCUAUCUAUAUGAAGAAGAAAUCAUGUAACGAAGGGGAUUUUUAUUUGUACAAAUGGUACUUCGAACUUGGAACGAGCAUGAAGAAAUUAACGAUACUUCUUUAUCUUUUGAGUUGUUCUGCCGGAUCGGUCGCCCAAGAUCUUUGGUCUCUACCCGGACCCGAUGAAAAAAAUGGGAUCACUUCUUAUGGACUCGUUGAGAACGAUUCGGAUCUAGUUCAUGGCCUAUUAGAAGUAGAAGGCGCUCUGGUGGGAUCUUCACGGACAGAAAAAGAUUGCAGUCAGUUUGAUAAUGAUCGAGUGACAUUGCUUCUUCGGCCCGAACCAAGGAAUCCCUUAGAUAUGAUGCAGAGCGGAUCUUAUUCUAUCCUUGAUCAGAGAUUUCUCUAUGAAAAAUAUGAAUCGGAGUUUGAAGAGGGGGAGGGGGAAGGAGCCCUUGACCCGCAAUAGAUAGAGGAGGAUUUAUUCAAUUACAUAGUUUGGGCUCCUAGAAUAUGGCGCCCUUGGGCCUUUCUAUUUGAUUGUAUUGAAAGGCCCAAUGAAUUGGGAUUUCCCUAUUGGUCCAGGCCAUUUUGGGGCAAGCGGAUCAUUUAUGAUGAAGAGGAUGAGCUUCAAGAGAAUGAUUCGGAGUUCUUACAGAAUGGAACCGUGCAGUACCAGACAUGAGAUAGAUCUUCCAAAGAACAAGGCCCUUUUCGAAUAAGUCAAUUCAUUUGGGACCCUGCGGAUCCACUCUUUUUCCUAUUCAAAGAUCAGCCUCCUGGCUCUGUGUUUUCACAUCGAGAAUUAUUUGCAGAUGAAGAGAUGUCAAAGGGGCUUCUUACUUCCCAAACAGAUCCUCCUACAUCUAUAUAUAAAUGCUGGUUUAUCAAGAAUACGCAAGAAAAGCACUUUGAAUUGUUGAUUAAUCGUCAGAGAUGGCUUAGAACCAAUAGUUCAUUAUCGAAUGGAUCUUUCCGUUCUAAUACUCUAUCCGAGAGUUAUCAGUAUUUAGCAAAUCUGUUCCUAUCUAACGGAACGCUAUUGGAUCAAAUGACAAAGACAUUGUUGAGAAAAAGAUGGCUUUUCCCAGAUGAAAUGAAAAUUGGAUUCAUGUAACGGGAGAAAGAUUUCCCAUUCCUUAGCCGGAAAGAUAUGUGGCUAUACUAUGAAAGAGGGAUUAAGUGGAACAGAAUUGACUGGGUGGUAGAGUCGUGGAAACGCUUCUUUCUUCCAUAUUUUAUUUGGGACAUUAGCUCCAUGGAACAAUAUGUUACUGCUGAUGUGACGGCCCCACCCCCCCUAGGGCGUACCCCAGGGUUCGACGAGUCGCCUGCCCAGCUCUCGCCGGGACUCAGUCGAUCAUAAAAACUAGAAAAUAGAUUCACGCCAAAAGAAAGUUCUAUUUACACAAUUACAUCUUCAAAAGUUGCAUAAACUAGUACAUCAAGUCAUACAUACCACGAGUACCAGAAAGUGAACCCUAGAAGAGCUGAUAACUACAACCACCACGACCACUAUGUACAUCUUGCUCGUCAACUUUUAACAAAUACAAAUACAAACAUUCUAUAGCUCAAAAUCUAACCACCUUCCCGAGCGAUCCCCGCGUCGGCCCCCUGCUAAGGAAAACAAAUGGAAUGGGGUAAGCUAUAUGCUUAGUGAGCAAUCAGGGGAAAAUAACACUCACAUAAUUAAACAAGUAAAUCAGGAUAUUUCACAUCAAUAACAGAAAAGUAACAUCACAAGUGUAGGAUACGGGUGGCUCCAAAGCCAGUUCAAUUCCCCGAACUUGAACGCCUGUUGACACUCCGUCAACCAAGUACUCAUGGUCCGUAGACUCCACUUAAACGUUCCCCGUUCACCUUAUCAACCCCCGCUGGCCAGUCAAUAGCACACAGCAGCUCGAGCGAAAUAAAGUAACUUAGCUUUCGUCAAAGCUAUAACAAGAAACUAAAUCCCAAGUUUAGCAUGGAACUAUCUUCGACCAAGCCCCGGCUGGCUCGAAUAGUUCGUCUAACCCAUGGAACCGGGCUGGAACCAAGCCCUGAGAUAUCCGAUCUCUCAAUAGAUGGUAUCUCUCAACAAGUGCACAACAAGAUACUUACCCCAAACAGCACACAGCAAAUGGGGUUUAAUUCAAGUCGCGAGAUCACCCCUAUCAGCACACAGCAAAAGGGUGAUACUCAAGUCAUGUAAUUCCCCUCCUCAGCACACAGCAAGAGGGUGAUACUCAACAUAAAGCAUGUAUUCUCACAUAGAAAAUCAAUAUAAAGAAUGGGCUUAGGUCGAGUGAGAUAAAGUACACCCUCGCCUACGUACCCAUUUAACAUGUACAAAGCACUUUAACAAUUUCACAUCAAUAACCACCCAAUUACUCACUUGAUACAACUUGGCACGAAAAUGAUACAAUUCACGGAGCUUGACCGUCACCGUCAAAAGCCUCAAGAUCUGUAUGGGCAGAUUAUAUACACACAUGAAUGAAACGGCCAUACAACAGCAAUUUAUAACCGAAACGAUCGAAUACAGUUGAAAACGGUCAAAAUAAUCAAAACGGUUACACGAUCUUGUCCAUAACGGGAGCUAGGGUUAUCGGAUCAAAAUGUACUAGAUAGUGUCUCGAACCUUAGACAAAAGGUUACAACUUCCAUAAAGAUAACUCAAUCCAUUUUUCAGUGUAUCCAAGUUAAACUUGCAAAAUAUAAAACUAGGACUCUGAAGACUAGUUUAUCUUUCUCGUGAAAAUUCGGCGGCAUGCCCCUUGUGUUUACCCAUUUUCCAGCCAUUUAUGGCUUCAUUAUUUUUCUCUCAGCCAAUUCCAAAGUCAUACAUAUCAUAGAUUCAAGUAAAUAGCCGUUCCAUAGGCUCAUAACAACAUAAGAACAGAAAUCAAAGUGAUAACAAGUGCGGAAAUGUAACCUAGCAAAAGACAGAUUUGACGUGUGGUUGCGGAAAUAACACAUCCGAGGCUACGCUUAUCGGAUUGCGUCACAACUUAUACCGUUUCGAAGCUAAGACACAGGGUUACAAUUUUCAUGAAGAUCACUUAGUCCAGUUUCCAAUGUAACCUAGUCAAAUUCCCAAUUUACAGAACCAAAAUCCAACUAGUCGGCUAAUUAACCGUACUGCACUGGAAUGGUCAUAUCUCAGGUUACCAAGGUCCGAUUAAGGUGUUCUUGAAGGGGUUUAAAAGCUAAGACAGAAUACUAAAACUUUCAUGUUUUGGAAAAUAGCUAAAUCCCAACAGAUUAUAGUGAAUAAACACAACCAAAUAAACUAAACUGUCCACGCUGAACUCCGGAAUGUAACCUAGAACAGCGAGGGUAUUUCCGUCUUUUCACAAGUUACAUUGCUCCGAUUGAGCUGAAAUUUUGUAGGAACCUAUAAAAUACCAUUCUAUACAACUUUAAUGUUUUAUGCCAAGCCCAAUUCGGCCUCUAACAUGGUGAAACAAAAACCGGACAGAAAGAGGGGAAAUUUUCCAGAAAUCUGGAAUUUGUUGAUUUCAAUGCAACCUUUCAUGAUUUCUUGCUUCACUUGCUACCAAAACCCCUUAUAUAACCUUAUAUACAACAUCUAUCAACCAUACAACAAGUUUAGGCAGAAAUUAAUCAAACCCUAACUUGCUUAAAUCAUCCAAAAUUCAUCACAACAACUUGCAUAUCCUGUAAUCAAGCCAAAACAUGAACUAGAUAGCAUCUUAAACCAAAAUUUAAAAGACCAAAAACCAUAAUCAGAUCUUAUACCUCAAAGACAAGCUUGGAAGAGUGAUACUCCACCUCCUUUAGAAAUUUUUGUUUGCCCUAGCUUCUUAAGCCCACAACUAGCACUUUAAUCGGUUUGGAAGUUUGAUUUCUCACUUGGAUAGCUAAGAUCAAGAAGAAGAAAGUUGUUCUUGCUCUCUCUUUUCUCUCUCUCUUUGGUCGGCCAGCAGCAGAAAAAAUGAAGAGGAAAGUGCAAAAUUUGGAAAUAAGAAGAAAGACCAACUCUUGGUCAAGAAACUCUAGGGCCACCACCACCUUUCAUUUUUCUCUUUCCUUUUCCUUGUUAUUUUAGCCUCGAUUUUCGGUCAAAGGCAGCUGACAAUUAAGAAGAUAUUUUGCUCAAAUAUCAAUAAGCUUGUAUGGUAAGAAAGUGGUGGUCAAGUGGUGCGUUCAAACGGUAGUGCGCGGUACCCGUCGGUUCGCGCCGUUUUUCUUAAAAACACACGUACUAGGGUUUUUUACUUCCUAUUCACCAACUCUAUAUCAUUGCUCCUAAUCACAUAUUAUUUCUCACUUAAAAGUCACUUUUAAUCACCAAAUUUGAUCCUUGCUCAGUACCGAAAAUUCAUCCGGCGAUAAAUCGCGAAAACCCUAAUUUUGCUCCAAUCUUGAAACCAAAAGUGAAACCCUACUUUCUAGGUUCAUUUGCACUUAUUAUGGGGUGCUUGAGUAGUUGGGUCAUAAUAAAUGAAUAAUUUCCAAAUAAAAGGAAUUUUAAGAAAAAUGUGGUGAAUUUUACAAUUUCAUAGAAUAAAAUUAGGGUUUUGAGUCAAAUAUGAGGGAUUUAAACAUAGUCACAAGUAAACUAGGGUUUUUGAUUAAAAUUUUAGGGUUUCUAGUCUUUUAAAACAAAAUAAGGUUUUAAAUCAAACCCAAAGAAAUAACUUUAGUAUCUUCCCUGAAACAAAAGAAUGUUUUAAAAUAAAAUGAACUAAAGAAACCGUAAAACAAUAGCAUCUUAAAAGUUGGGGUGUCACAAUCUCCCCUCCUUAAAAGAAUUUCGUCCUCGAAAUUCCAAUUAACGAACUAAAGGGUUGGAAUACUCAAAUACCUCAAUACGAUGGAAAAUAGGGAAGGUACGUUCGGUGAUUGUUAAUGGGUCUGUCACCUCUUGGCUUCCUAUUGCAUAGGUCCUUGCCGGCACUUUCGGUCGAUUACCCGUGGCAUUAGUCUUCUUAGACGUGUUCCCUUCUGCCCUUGGCAAAUUUCCUUCUUUUGGUAGGUGAGGGCACUGAGCAAUCAGAUGCUCAGCACUACCACAUCGAUAGCAUUUCCGUACUUGUCCUUUCUUCCAACAAUUAUCUUCUAUGUGAUUAGCAGCUCCACAAAAUCCGCAUGUCAUUCUAGAUCCUGACGUCGGACCUCCAUGUGAGGUACCCCUUUGGGUUUCUCUUCCUACCUGAUUUUUCUCAACAUUUUCUUGAUUUGGGAUCCCAGUGGAUCGUGGUCCACCUAUUCCUCGACUCUUCUUAAGUGGUGGCUCACUCCCCGAGCUCUGUCCCUCAAUAUAACUGCUUCUAUCUGGGUGCCUUCUUUUCUUAUCAUGAAAGGCCUUUACUUGACUCUUAGUACUUUCAAUUCUUUGUGCCUUUUCAAUCGCUUGACUAUAAGUCUCCAAUUGAGCAGCUGCCAAUGCCUCUUGAAUUUCCACGUUCAAACCCUGUACAAAUCGACGAAUUCUCCUUUGGUCUGUCAGUAUUAAUUCUGGAGCAAAACGAGAGAGUUUGGUAAACUGUGUCUCGUACUCUGCCACACUCGUAGUCCCUUGACGUAGGCGUAUGAACUCAUCCUCUCGCCUUUCCUGAACAAGUGGCGGUAAGUACUUCUCAUUAAACUCACGAGUAAAAUUCACCCAUGUCCAUGGGGUUUGUUCUCUAUCCCAUUUGGCUCGAAUCACAUUCCACCAGGCACGAGCCGCUCCCUCAAAUUGAAAAACGGCGAAAGCUAUCUGCCGUUCCUCUGAGUAUCCUAAUGCAGCAAAAAUGUCUAACAUUCGCUCCAACCAACUCUCUGCUAUAUCAGGACUAGGUCCACCCAAGAAUUUUGGCGGUAGAAAUUUUUGGAACCGUCUAAGGCACGGUCCUCUCCUUCAUGAUUGCCAGGAUGCUGUACUUGGCCUUGACCCUGUUGGUUGACCAUUCGUUCUAGUAAAUCAGCCAUUCGCUGUAUGGCUGUAGCUACCUGGGUUUCGGCUUGCGUAUUCGCAUUUUCAUUAGUUACCCCUUCGGUUCCUUGUCCUCGUCCUCUACCCCCACCACGAGUCUCCAUUUAAUGGUUUUAUAGUUUCUAUAAUUGGGACAAAAUAUGGUUCAAGAUCAAAGUGUGUACGUAUAUAUACAAGUCACGCAAAAUAUACACAAUAUAAUGUACCAUAUACACCAAGGGACAUUUCAGGUCAGACAAAGUCAAGUGCAGUAAGUACUAUAUAUGUAGGCAUUAACAUACCAUAAGUAAAUGACAUGUAGAAACAAUGCAAGGGCAAAAUGAAAGAAACGCGACUUGUCGUCCCACACUCAUUGAAAAUCACCCCCGUCCGAUUUCUUACUCCACUUCCCAAGGUGCCCGUUAAUUUCUUGUACUCACUCUAGCCAGACAAAGCCUGUUCAUGUUCUCAAAAUGCAAGUCUCAAGUCAAAAAUUUCUCAAGUCGAAAAUUUUACCCCUGGCGGUGCUUGGAAACACAACAAGCUAGCACAACGGCUAUACUUCACCAGUGAGUCUUAAUUCAAGAAAUUCAUCCCUGGCGGUGUUUGGAAACACAACAGGCAAUGCCUCACCAGAGAGUUUUAGUUCAACCGCUACAGAGGAAUAGUAGCCGAUCUACAACCACACGAGUACAAAUAAGUUCAAAAAUAAGGUCGAAGCAGGGUUCAAACAUAUAAGUUCAAAAAUAGAGUCAAUUACUUCAAGUUCAAGGAGCACAGGUACGAAUAAGAACUCACUCGGCUAGCCUAUACCCAGCAAUUCACAUUCUCAAACAGUCACCGGAUUCAAGUCCAAAUAUAGGUCAUAUUACUCAUGCGUAAUAUCAAAUCAGGUCCAUUACAUGUACGUAAGAGCACACUAUAUGAUACCCAAGUACAAGAAUUCACAAUAAGACAAUUCACAACUCGAGCCGGCCGGUCUCAAGAGUAAAUCAUCCAUAUUAGAGAUUCCUACCUGGCAUACCUAACCAUUGUCCCCAAAGUACCAUGAUAAGGGUUCAAACCUAGAACGUUUCAUGCAACGUAGUACCAAUGCAUGCUACGCAUAUCAUUUUGGGAAGGCCCUGGCAAUUUGACAAACACGUCACAUUCGAUGGAAGAGCAAAUAAGUACACCUUUUUGCACGAUGGCAAACGUAAGGUCCUUACACCUCUCACACCUGCACAAGUUUAUGAGGACCAACUACUAUUGCAAAGGGAGUGUGAACAAGACCGUCAAAGGAGGAAACUAAAGGCAGUCGACCCUGGUAAAGGCUCCACGUCUACGAGUGAGCCAUCAACCAAGGGUCAAGGGAGCACACCUAGGGGUAUACAUGACAAAUCACCUACCACACCUACCACUAGGAAGCACAACAUGAUUAUUAAGGCUAAAGAUGUUAGAAAAGUGGUGAACUCUAAUCAGCCUAUACUUCUCAUGAUUUGCAAGCAUGUGCUCUUGGAUGUUGCUGAGCUCGACAAGGCGUUGCCUGCGAGCAUAGUUGCUCUUUUGCAAGAAUUUGGGGAUGUUUUCCCUGACGAGGUCCCUGAUGGCUUACCACCCAUUCGGGGAAUUGAACACCAAAUCGACCUCAUUCCUGGAGCACCAUUGCCCAACAAACCUGCCUACCGCAUGGGCCCUGAGGAGACCAAGGAGCUUCAAAGGCAAGUUGAUGGCCUCUUAGGUAAGGGUUGGGUAAAGGAAAGUCUAAGUCCUUGCGCUGUGCCUGUGAUACUUGUUCCCAAAAAGGACGGUACUUGGCGCAUGUGCACUGACUGUCGGGCUGUGAACGCUAUCACUGUCAAAUAUCGUCAUCCCAUUCCUAGACUUGAUGAUAUGCUUGAUGAACUCGAUGGUGCCAUUAUUUUCACCAAAAUAGACUUAAGGAGCGGCUAUCAUCAAAUUCGGAUGAAAGAAGGCGACGAGUGGAAAACAGCCUUCAAAACCAAACAUGGUCUCUAUGAGUGGCUAGUCAUGCCUUUUGGCUUAACUAAUGCCCCUAGCACCUUCAUGCGACUAAUGAACCAUGUGUUGAGACACUUUAUUGGCAAGUUUGUCAUUGUUUACUUUGAUGACAUCCUGAUCUAUAGUCGUAGUGAGCAUGAGCACCUAGAGCAUGUGAGAAUAGUUCUUGAGACACUUCGACAGGCGCGUCUUUACGCCAACCUCAAGAAGUGCACCUUUUGUACUAACGAGCUUGUGUUUUUAGGCUAUGUGGUAAGUUCGCAGGGCAUCAAGGUGGACAAAUCCAAGAUUGAGGCCAUCGAGCAAUGGCCAACUCCCACGUCCGUCCCUGACGUGCGCAGCUUUCUUGGAUUGGCGGGCUUUUACCGGCGCUUUGUCAAAGAUUUUAGCACCAUUGCCGCCCCGUUGACCGCCGUGACAAAGAAGAAUGACAAGUUCCACUGGGGAGAAUCACAAGAACAAGCAUUUCUCGCCCUCAAGGACACACUCACACAUGCGCCUGUGUUAGCAUUACCAAAUUUUCACAAGACUUUUGAAAUUGAAUGUGAUGCUUCUGGUGUAGGUAUUGGAGCGGUCCUCAUGCAAGACAAGAGGCCUUGUGCCUUCUUUAGUGAGAAACUGGGGGGAGCUGCAUUAAACUACCCCACGUACGACAAGGAGUUGUACGCAUUAGUGAGGGCUUUGGAGACUUGGCAACACUAUCUUCGCCCUCGGGAGUUCGUGAUACACACUGAUCACGAGUCAUUGAAGUACCUCAAGGGACAACCCAAGUUAAGCAAGCGACAUGCCAAAUGGGUAAGCUUCAUUGACACCUUUUCGUAUGUCAUUAAGUAUAAGACUGGCAAAACGAAUGUAGUGGCUGAUGCAUUAUCACGUAGACAUUCGUUGCUUGCCCUUCUGGAUGCCAAGUUACUAGGGUUCGCAUUGGUUAAGGAACUCUUCACAAAUGAUCAUGACUUUGGUGAUAUCUAUGUUGCUUGUGUUAAGAACCCGCAUGGAAAAUACUUCUUGCAUGAUGGAUUUCUAUUCCAUGUAUAUAAACUGUGUGUACCUAAUUCUUCCAUUCGUGAUCUUUUGAUUCGAGAGGCACAUAGUGGUGGUCUCAUGGGCCACUUUGGCAUCACCAAGACUCUGGCCAUGUUGCAAGAGCACUUUUACUGGCCUCAUAUGCGUAGAGAUGUUGAACGCAUGGUUGGUAGAUGUGCUACUUGUCACAAGGCAAAGUCUAAGACAAAUCCAUAUGGCUUGUAUACCCCAUUACCUAUCCCUCACCAUCCUGGGGUUGAUUUGUCUAUGGACUUUGUAUUAGGAUUGCCUAGAUCAACAAGGGGUAAUGACUCCAUCUUUGUUGUGGUUGAUAGAUUCUCUAAGAUGGCUCAUUUUAUUCCUUGCCACAAAACUGACGAUGCAUCUCAUAUUGCUAAUCUGUUCUUCAAAGAAAUUGUCCGUCUGCAUGGCCUGCCUAAAACUAUUGUCAGUGAUAGAGAUGUGAAAUUCUUGAGUUACUUUUGGAAGACUUUGUGGUCCAAACUGGGCACUAGGUUAUUAUUCUCCACCACUAGUCAUCCACAAAGCGAUGGACAAACUGAAGUUGUCAAUCGCACACUUGGCACUCUACUUCGGGCCUUGAUUAAAAAGAAUCUUAUGACUUGGGAAGAGUGCCUCCCUCAUGUUGAAUUCGCCUACAAUCGAACUGUGCAUAGUGCCACACAAUACUCCCCCUUUGAGAUUGUUUAUGGCUUCAACCCCGUCACCCCCCUUGAUUUGGUGCCCUUACCUUCCUCUGAGCACACAAGCUUAGAUGGGAAAAAGAAAGCUGAUUCUGUGCGCAGGUUACAUGAGGCCGUGCGAGCAAACAUUGAGAAGCGUACGCAGCAAUACACCCAGCAAGCCAACAAGCACCGUCGCAAGAUGAUUUUUGAUCCUGGAGAUUGGGUUUGGCUACACUUGAGGAAAGAGCGAUUUCCCAAGCAACGCCAAAGCAAAUUGUCCCCAAGAGGUGAUGGACCAUUUCGGGUACUCCAACGAGUCAAUGACAACGCAUACAAGUUGGAGCUACCUGGGGAGUACAAUGUUAGUGCAACCUUCAACGUCGCGGACCUAAGCCCAUUUCUUGACGAGGAGGAUCCAGAUUUGAGGGCAAAUCCUUCUCAAGAGGAGGGGACUGAUGUGUGCACGAGUCUCGGCCCACGCAAUGAUCCAGUCCGAGUUCCAUCGGGCCCAGUCACACGUGCACGGGCCAAGCUCUUCAAAGAAUCACUCCAAACCCUGGUUCGAGUCGUCCAAGACCAACAUGGAGUUCACAAAGAUAUUGAGGGCUUAGAGAGAGACAAUCAAGCCAUUUGCACCAUGAUCCAAGCCCACGAGGACUCAAGUGGGCCUUCAAGAGGACCGGCCCUAUAGGGCCUUAGCCUUAGUAUUUGAUAGAUUGGAUUAAUUUGUCUUCAUAGCUCAUUGGGCCGGCCCAUCUUCGACACCAAGAUGACCGAACUCUUUGCCAUUGUUUCCUUAGGUUUUCUUAGUCACUUUGGCCUAUAAAUAGGCUUGCUUUGUAAGGUUUUAGGGUAGUCGUUUUAUCAAUAAAAUUGGUUUAAUUCGUUCCUUCUUCCAAGAAGAGAGUUCGAGCACUUUAACUUGCUUUGGCAAGGGUUAUUGAGCAAUCUUGCGUCCUGUCCUCGAUUGUUCAUCCGACCUAUUCCCCUGGAGUAUUCACCUUCAUCGGAGUGUCGUCUACCACCUACAUCAAAUCGUGUCGUCCGUUUGAUUCUAGGUCCCGCAAUCCAAGCGUUGGACAACCUUGCUAGAUCCUUGGGCAAACGUGCUACGUGUCUCGAAACAAGUUGAUCGAGGAACGUAUCAGUGAGGUACGUGUCUACAAACAUGUACGUAUUCCUUUCUCUAUUGGCAAUUACAUAGAUGAGGUUGUGUGUGAUGUUGUGCCUAUGCAUGCGACACAUGUCAUCCUAGGGAGACCUUGGCAAUUUGACAAAUCCGUCACGUUUGAUGAACGAGCAAAUAAAUACACUCUCUUGCACAAUGGAAAAUGCCUGGUCCUCACACCACUCACACCUGCCCAAGUGUAUGUGGACCAACUUAAGUUACAAAGAGAGUGUGAACAAGACCGCCAAAAGAGGAAACAAAAGGCGGCCGGGGGUCUUACACCCUCAUCCGAUAAUCGUAACGCCUUUGGUGCCAUUACCGCAAAAGGACGUCAAAACUGUUUUCUGGUUUUGAGCAAUUGUGGUUAAUUGCUAUGUGAUUGGGUUUGAUUGUAGGUUGGAAAAUAAAGGAAUUAAGGGGAAAUGCUGUCCGAUUUUAAUAGCGUUGGUUACCUUAAGUUUCAUGUGAAAGGCUUGGACUUGAAUGAUGGAAUUGGCUAUAUUGGACGAGGAUUGUGAGCCGUGGAGGUGAGUGACCUUAAACUACUUGCAACGUUACUUUAAAAUGUUUCUUGCAUCGUUUCUUUGAUUGCAUAUCCUGUGUGCCGGCAUAUAAGUUCUUGACAUGUUUUGGCUCAAAUGAGUACUUGGAAUUCGUGUGCUAGACUCCGACGUUUCCUCCACCGUUUAAUGUUCCUGUAGAGCACCAAUGGGCUCAAUGUUCAAUGUUCAAUGUUAAUGUUCAAUGUUAAAUGAUUGUUUGGAGCGUUGGACGUCUAAGUACCAUGAUUUCACUGGCUCAUGAGAGAAGUGAAAGUGCAUUGAUUGUUGAAGCAUGACAUUAUUGAAAUGAACGAUUGUGAAACUGAUUUGAUAACUGAAUUUCUUGGUUACUCGCUGAGCUUCUAGCUCACCCCAAAAUGUUUUAUUCCCCUCCACAGGGCUCAACGCGAAGGAAGGGCUUGUAGUGUUUAUUCAUGGAUUAUCUCAUGUAUGGAUUGAAUUUGGAUUCCUUUUGUGUAAUCAUUCAUAUCGGGAUUGUAUUGAACGUUUAGUAUUGAUUGGUUGUGUAAUAGUCUAGUUUUGGACUUCCUCCUGUAUAAUAGUUGGUAUCAAGGAUCAGAGUGGCGCAGUGGAAGCGUGGACGCUUCGCUUUUGAUAUGUAAAUGUUGGAAUAUUUGAUUUAUCUUUGAGAUUGUAUCUUGUAUUUAAUUGAGGACUGUAGUGAACGACUGAGUCCCGGCGAGAGCUGGGCAGGCGGCCCGCCGAACCCUCUGGUUCGCCUUAGGGGGAGAUGGGGCCGUGAAACUUUAACUCACGAAAACUCGCUUCACACCGAGCAUCCCACACGAACCGACCAUGUUUUUUCGAUAGGUCAGUUAAAGGACCGGCCAAUUUGAAAAAAUAAUUAAUGAAACGCCUGUAGUACCCAGCCAACCCUAGAAAACUAUGAAUCUCCAUGAAAUUUUCUGGCCUCUUCCAAUUAGUCAUGGCCUCUACUUUCGCCGGGUCAACCGAGAUACCCUCUUGGGAAAUUACGUGCCCUAAGAAAGAAAUUAUGUUCAGCCAAAACUCGAACUUACUAAAUUUGGCAUACAACUGAUGCUCUCUUAGGGUUUGUAAAAUGAUUCUUAGGUGCUGUUCAUGCUCCUCACAAGUCUUGGAGUAGACCAAGAUAUCGUCAAUAAAGACAACGACAAAUCGAUCCAGGUAGGGUUUAAAAAUCCUAUGCAUUAGAUCCAUGAAGGCGGUAGGGGCAUUGGUUAGUCCGAAGGACAUGACUGCGAAUUCGUAGUGCCCAUAUCUCGAAUUGAUAGCAGUUUUCGGGAUAUCUUCUUUACUAAUCAAUAAUUGGUAAUACACCUGUCGAAAAUCUCUUGAACUAAUUUAUACUAGAAAAAUAAUUUAAAAACCAUAUUUACUCAUAAAAAUUAUCCAGAAAAUUUUUCUAACAAAGAAACUAUAGAAUUAGUAUGCAAUUAAAUAAAAUAAAACUUAGAAAAUAAGAAAAAUUACGGGUUCUCACACUCUCUCCCCUUAAAAGAAUUUCGCCCUCGAAAUUUCUCAUCUUGAUUUUCAAACAGUUCAGGGCAUUUCUUUUUCAUUUCUUCUUCCACCUCCCAGGUAACCUCCUCAAUUCCGUGAUUUCUCCACAAAAUCUUCACCAAAGGUAUUCGUUUGUUUCUCAAUUCUUUAACCUUUCGGUCGAGCAACUGUACUGGCUUCUCUUCGUAGGUGAGGGAUUCAUCUAUCUCGACUUCCUCUGGCUGUAAGAUGUGAGACGUAUCAGGAUAAUACUUUUUAAGCUUCGAGACGUGGAAGACGUUGUGAAUUCUGGAUAGACUUGACGGUAGUUUAAGUCGAUACGCUACUUUACCAACUCUUUGGAGAAUCUUGAAAGGUCUGACGAAUCUCGGUUGAAAUUUUUUUCCCCUACCCGCCGUGACACUUCGUAAUGGUGUGACCUUAAGGAAAACACAGUCCCCAACUUCGAACUCCAGAUCUUUUCUUCGAUUGUCCGCGUAGCUCUUCUUUCGGUUUUGAGCUAUUUGGAGACUUUGUCGUAUCAACUUGACUCUUUCUCGAGCAUUCUCCAUCCAUGGAAUAGUGGUUGGAUCUAACACCUUUCUCUCACCGAUUUCGUCCCAAUAGAUCGGUGACCGGCACUUCCUCCCGUAUAGCGCUUCGUAGAGUGCCAUUUGAAUUGACGAAUGGUAACUGUUAUUGUAACAAACUCUACUAAGGUCAUAUGUUGACCCCAAUUAUCUCCAAAAUCCAGAACACAGGUCCUUAACAUAUUCUCGAGAGUUUGAAUUGUUCGCUCCGACUGUCCAUCCGUCUGAGGGUGAUAGGUGGUGCUUAAGUUGAGCUUAGUCCCCAAAGUCUCUUGACAUUUCUGCCAAAAUCUAGAUAUAAAGCGGGAUCUCUAUCCGAAACGAUGCUCACAGGAACUCCAUGUAAUCUUACGAUCUCAUCCACGUACACCUGGGUCAAUUUGUCCAUGAAAUACUUCAUGCUUACCGGCAAGAAAUGGGCCGAUUUGGUUAAACGGUCGACGAUCACCCAAACGGCAUCAUGCCCUCGUUGUGUUCGCGGCAAACCUGAAACGAAAUUCAUUGUGAUGUUUUCCCACUUCCAUUCGGGUAUCUCAAGAGAUUGUAACAAGUCCGAUGGUUUUUUGAUGCUCUGCUUUAACUUGUUGGCAAAUGAGACAUUUUUGUACGUAUUGAGCAAUUUCCUUCUUCAUGUUGUCCCACCAAUAGGCUCCUUUUAGGUCUUGGUGCAUCUUGCUACUACCCGAAUGGAUCGUAUACUUAGAUCGAUGAUUUUUCCUCUAAGAUCUCCUUCUUUAACGUUUCAUCUUUGGCACCAUCAUUCGGUUUCGGUAUUUCAAGACUCCCUCGGACUGAAAUUAAAAUCUGACAAUUCCCCUUUUUCCUCUUUCUCUCCCCAUUUCCGCACCAUCGAAUCCUUCUUUUGAACUUCUUAACUCGCUCCAGUAGUGCGGAUGUUAUUUUAACAUUACCAAAAACCACCUUAUGACUCCCAAGGCAGGGCUUUCACUCACAAACAGAUUCCAACAGAUCCCACUCCUUAAUCAUUAACCCCGCUACUUGAGCCUUUCGGCUUAGUCAUCCGCCCACCACAUUAGCUUUUUCCCGGAUGAUAGUUGAUAGUGCAGUCAUAGUCCUCCAGAAAUUCCAUCCAUCGUCGCUGCCUUAUGUUCAAUUCCUUUUGCGAGAAAAGGUAUCUAAGACUCUUGUGGUUUGAGUAAACCUCGAAGGUCACCCGUAUAGAUAAUGUCUCCACUUAAUCAGAGCAAAAACAACCGUGGCUAACCCUAGAUCAUGGGUGGGAUAGUUCUACUCGUGGGGUUUCAACUUCCUAGAGGCAAAAGAUAUUACAUUCCGAUUUUCCAUUAACACACGCCCAGACCUUCCGUGACGCGUCGGUAUAAACGGUAAACCCGUCUACUCCGUUAGGCAAAGCUAGAAUCGGUGCCAUGGUCAAUCUUUUCUUUAACUCACGAAAACUCGCUUCACACCGAGCAUCCCACACGAACGACCAUGUUUUUUCGAUAGGUCAGUUAAAGGACCGGCCAAUUGAAAAAAUCUUUAAUGAAACGCCUGUAGUACCCAGCCAACCCUAGAAAACUAUGAAUCUCAAUGAAAUUUUCUGGCCUCUCCAAUUAUUCAUGGCUUCUACUUUCGCCGGGUCAACCGAGAUACCCUCUUGGGAAAUUACGUGCCCUAAGAAAGAAAUUCUUUUCAGCCAAACUCGAACUUACUAAAUUUGGCAUACAACUGAUGCUUCUUAGGGUUUGUAAAAUGAUUCUUAGGUGCUGUUCAUGCUCCUCACAAGUCUUGGAGUAAACCAAGAUAUCGUCAAUAAAGACAACGACAAAUCGAUCCAGGUGGGGUUUAAAAAUCCUAUGCAUUAGAUCCAUGAAGGCGGUAGGGGCAUUAGUCAGUCCGAAGGGCAUGACUGCGAAUUCGUAGUGCCAUAUCUCGAAUUGAUAGCAGUUUUCGGGAUAUCUUCUUUCCUAAUCAAUAAUUGGUAAUACCCCUGUCGAAAAUCUCAUGAACUAAUUUAUACUAGAAAAAUAAUUUAAAAAUCAUAUUUACUCAUAAAAAUUAUCCAGAAAAUUUUUCUAACAAAGAAACUAUAGAAUUAGUGUGCAAUUAAAUAAAAUAAAACUUAGAAAAUUAGAAAAUUAAGGGUUCUCACACUCUCUCCCCCUUAAAAGAAUUUCGCCCUCGAAAUUUCUCAUCUUGAUUUUCAAACAGUUCAGGCAUUUUUUUUUCAUUCUUCUUCCACCUCCCACAGGUAACCUCCUCAAUUCCGUGAUUUCUCCACAAAAUCUUCACCAAAGGUAUUCGUUUGUUUCUUAACUCUUUAACCUUUCGGUCGAGCAACUGUACUGGCUUCUCUUCGUAGGUGAGGGAUUCAUCUAUCUCGACUUCCUCUGGCUGUAAGAUGUGAGACGUAUCAGGAUAAUACUUUUUAAGCAUCGAGACGUGAAGACGUUGUGAAUUCUGGAUAGACUUGACGGUAGUUUAAGUCGAUACGCUACUUUACCAACUCUUUGGAGAAUCUUGAAAGGUCUGACGAAUCUCGGUUGAAGUUUUUUCCUCUACCCGCCGUGACACUUCGUAAUGGUGUGACUUAAGGAAAACACAGUCCCCAAACUUCGAACUCCAGAUCUUUUCUUCGAUUGUCCGCGUAGCUCUCUUUCGGUUUUGAGCUAUUUGAGACUUUGUCGUUUCAACUUGACUCUUCUCGAGCAUUCUCCAUCCAUGGAAUAGUGGUUGGAUCUAGCACCUUUCUCUCACCGAUUUCGUCCCAAUAGAUCGGUGACCCGCACUUCCUCCCGUAUAGCGCUCGUAGAGUGCAUUUGAAUUGACGAAUGGUAACUGUUAUUGUAAGCAAACUCUACUAAGGUCAUAUGUUGACCCCGAAUUACCUCCAAAAUCCAACACAGGUCCUUACAUAUUCUCGAGAGUUUGAAUUGUUCGCGACUCGUCCACUUGUCGCAUCGUCCUGAGGGUGAUAGGUGGUGCUUAAGUUGAGCUUAGUCCCAAAGUCUCUGACAUUUCUGGCCAAAAUCUAGAUAUAAAGCGGGGAUCUCUAUCCGAAACGAUGCUCACAGGAACUCCAUGUAAUCUUACGAUCUCAUCCACGUACACCUGGGUCAAUUUGUCCAUGAAAUACUUCAUGCUUACGGCAAGAAUGGGCCGAUUUGGUUAACCGGUCGACGAUCACCCAAACGGCAUCAUGCCCUCGUUGUGUUCGCGGCAAACCUGAAACGAAAUUCAUUGUGAUGUUUUCCGCACUUCCAUUCGGGUAUCUCAAGAGAUUGUAACAAGUCCGAUGGUUUUUGAUACUCUGCUUUAACUGUUGGCAAAUGAGACAUUUUUGUACGUAUUGAGCAAUUUCCUUCUGUUAUUCUUGGUUUUGAUGAUCACAAAAGUUCAUUUAUACUGACCAAGAUUGAUCAGGCCUAAUGGAACAAGGAAAGCAUAUGUUUGAUUGACUCCAGUCUACGAUGCUUUGGAUGUGGCAAACAAGAUUGAAAUAAUAUAAACGAAUUUAGUCAUUGUUUUGUUCGCGAUCAAAGAUACUGUCUUUUAAGUAUGUCUAGUUUGUCAUCUUGGUACUUUGAAAUGUUUAUCUAACCUCCUUCAAAUACAAAGUGUUUUUUGUCUAUACCAAAAAUCAGGUUCAAAAUAUGUCAUGAAUGCAAGACAACCAAAAUGAGAAGCAAAAACAGGACAAUCAGGUCGGCGCCGAAAUGAAACUGUCGGACGUCCGAAGGAUGGCGCACACCUCGGACGCAUAUCAACCAGAUCGGACGUCCGAAAAAUUCCAAAUAACUUGCUAACUCUCGGCCUACGAUCGGACGCUGUGCUGUCGGACGACAAAAAUCUCAUCGGACGUCCGAACUUCAACUUGGCGGUUUUGGACGUUUGGUUCGGACGAUGAUUUGAUCGUCGGACGUCCGAAAGCCCAACGGCUAGCUGACCCUUCAUCUGCCUUCUAUCCGUUGGAAGCUUUAAUGAAGCCAUUUUUGUUCCCUUUAAAACAAACUGUUCUGAACGAAGGAAGGACUUUUGCACACUUUGUUUACAAGAUCUCAAGAGAUAUUUUAGCUAGAAAAUAGUCUCCAAAGCAAGAUUUGUUUUAAAGUGGUGUGAAUUUCUGCGUGAGCAUUUCUUUUGUGACUGAAAGGAUCUUUAGUGUAGCUUUGUUGAGGGUUUUUCUGAGUGAUUGUAAAACUUCUUAGCUUGACUAAGUGAGGCUUAGGGCAAGGAAGAAGUGCUCCCUCCAUUGUACAUCUAGUUGAUCUUCUUUCAUCUAAGAGAAGUUGCUCUUCCUAGUGUGUGUCUUCAAGUUUGAGGAUAGCUUGGUAGACACUUGGUUUGAUUCCCUAAUUUACUUUUCUGUUUAAUAAAAUUCUCAUUGCUUGUCUAUACUUUGUUUCUGAUCAAUAUUGCUCUUGUCUUCUAAUCUACUUGGUUGAUCAUUACUAGAAAAGAAGGUAAAUUUUUAUUAAAGAAAAAGUGCAUAAAUUUGGUUUAAGAUUUUAAUCAACCCAAUUCACCCCCCUCUUGGUUGUCUUUGGGACUUACAAUUGGUAUCAGAACUUGGUCUCCUUGAGAUUAAGCUCUAACGGCUUGGGAAAGAUGACAACCAGUCUGCUAUGUUUGUUGAGGGCAAUCUGUUACUAGGCCUCCCAUGUUCAGUGGCUCCAACUAUGUUAGCUGGAAAGAACGGAUGAUUAUCUUUUGCAAUCUAUUGAUAUUGAACUGUGGUUUAUUGUGAGUGAAGGGCAUGAAGCUAACUUUCUUGAUGCAGAUACAGGGCUGCUUCGGCCAAAAAUGAGAGCUGAAAUGAAUGCUCAAGAUAGGACUAACCUCACAUUGAAUGCCAAGGCCAUGAAUGUUCUUUAUAGUGCUUAGAUUCAAAUGAAUCAAUUAGAGUGAAAGGCUGUAAAUCAGCCAAAGAAAUGUGGGAUAAGUUAGAGAAAUCCAUGAGGUGGUGACAAUGUGAGAGACAGAGAAAGGCCAUCUUGGUCACAAAGUAUGAAUCAUUUAAGAUUGAACCUCUUGAGGAUAUUGACAAAAUGUUUUGCAGGUUCAUUGAUUGAUCAAAGAUCUCGAGGUGUUGGGCAAAGAGUACACUUGGGAGAGAAGAACAGAAAAUUCUCAAUGCAUUGGGCAAAGAAUGGGAAAAUAAAGUGACUGCAAUAGAGGAGGCUAAGAUUUAAGUUCUGUGCCUAUUGAAUCUAUCAUUAACUCACUAACCUCUUAUGAGUUAAAACUGAAAUCUAAAGUGCAGGAGGAAGAGGAUGCUAGAGCAAAAAGAAAUAUUGCUCUAAAGACUACUCAAA